GAUGAACGCUGGCGGCGCGCCUAACACAUGCAAGUCGAACGGUUAAAGCACCUUUUAGGUGUGUAUAAAGUGGCGAACGGCUGAGUAACACGUGGGCAACCUGCCCUCCUCUUGGGGAUAGCCUCGGGAAACCGAGGAUAAUACCCGAUACUUCAAUGUGGCCGCAUGACGACAUUGAGAAAGCUUUUGCGGAGAAGGAUGGGCCCGCGGCCUGUUAGCUUGUUGGUGGGGUAGAGGCCUACCAAGGCAAUGAUGGGUAGCUGGGUUGAGAGACCGACCAGCCAGAUUGGGACUGAGACACGGCCCAGACUCCUACGGGAGGCAGCAGUGGGGAAUCUUGCACAAUGGGCGAAAGCCUGAUGCAGCGACGCCGCGUGCGGGAAGAAGGCCUUCGGGUUGUAAACCGCUUUCAGCAGGGACGAGGCGAAAGUGACGGUACCUG
rnacentral:rRNA from 2 species